CAAACUGGAGAUGGCGACCGGCGCACGGGUGAGUAACACGUAUCCAACCUGCCGAUAACUCGGGGAUAGCCUUUCGAAAGAAAGAUUAAUACCCGAUGGCAUAAUAGAACCGCAUGGUUUGAUUAUUAAAGAAUUUCGGUCAUCGAUGGGGAUGCGUUCCAUUAGGUUGUUGGCGGGGUAACGGCCCACCAAGCCUUCGAUGGAUAGGGGUUCUGGGAGGAAGGUCCCCCCACAUUGGAACUGAGACACGGUCCGAACUCCUACGGGAGGCAGCAUG
rnacentral:rRNA from 1 species